rnacentral:tRNA from 5 species
GCGAGUGUGGUGUAGCCUGGUAACACGCGACCUUGCCAAGGUCAUGCCCCGGGUUCAAAUCCCGGCUCUCGCA